rnacentral:rRNA from 1 species
UACAGAGGUCCCGAGCGUUGUUCGGAUUCACUGGGCGUAAAGAGCUCGUAGGCGGUUUGUCGCGUCUGCUGUGAAAACUCGGGGCUUAACCCCGGGCCUGCAGUGGGUACGGGCAGACUAGAGUGCGGUAGGGGAGACUGGAAUUCCUGGUGUAGCGGUGAAAUGCGCAGAUAUCGGGAGGAACACCUGUGGCGAAAGCGGCGCACUGGACCACAACUGACGCUGAGGCGCGAAAGCUAGGGGAGCAAACAGG